rnacentral:rRNA from 1 species
CCUACGGGAGGCAGCAGUGGGGAAUAUUGGACAAUGGGCGAAAGCCUGAUCCAGCAAUGCCGCGUGAGUGAUGAAGGCCUUAGGGUUGUAAAGCUCUUUUACCAGGGAUGAUAAUGACAGUACCUGGAGAAUAAGCUCCGGCUAACUCCGUGCCAGCAGCCGCGGUAAUACGGAGGGAGCUAGCGUUGUUCGGAAUUACUGGGCGUAAAGAGUACGUAGGCGGUUAUUCAAGUCAGAGGUGAAAGCCCGGGGCUCAACCCCGGAACUGCCUUUGAAACUAGAUAGCUAGAGUCUUGGAGAGGUUAGUGGAAUUCCGAGUGUAGAGGUGAAAUUCGUAGAUAUUCGGAAGAACACCAGUGGCGAAGGCGACUAACUGGACAAGUACUGACGCUGAGGUACGAAAGCGUGGGGAGCAAACAGGAUUAGAUACCCUGGUAGUCCACGCCGUAAACGAUGAUAACUAGUUGUUCGGGCACUUGGUGCCUGAGUGACGCAGCUAACGCAUUAAGUUAUCCGCCUGGGGAUACGGUCGCAAGAUUAAAACUCAAAGGAAUUGAACGGCUGAGACCGNGCGAGAGACACGAGGAGAG